AUUGAACGCUGGCGGCAGGCCUAACACAUGCAAGUCGAACGGAGUGGCGGACGGGUGAGUAAUGUCUGGGAAUCUGCCUGGUAGUGUGGGAUAACGUCCGGACACGGGCGCUAAUACCGCAUACUAUCAGAUGAGCCUAGGUCGGAUUAGCUAGUUGGUGGGGUAAAGGCCUACCAAGGCGACGAUCCGUAACUGGGCGGAGAGGAUGAUCAGGCACACUGGAACUGAGACACGGGCCAGACGCCUACGGGAGGCAGCAGUGGGGAAUAUGGGACAAUGGGCGAAAGCCUGAUCCAGCCAUGCCGCGUGUGUGAAGAAGGUCUUCGGAUUGUAAAGCACUGUAAGUUGGGAGGCGUUACCAACAGAAUAAGCACCGGCUAACUGCGUGCCAGCAGCCGCGGUAAUUC
rnacentral:rRNA from 1 species